CACAUGUCCCCCGGGCCAGGAGCUGAUCCCGGAGGAAGGCCACUGCUGCCCCACCUUCCGAUGNNAGCCCAGACUCUGCGAGUACAACGGCACCAUCUAUGGGGUUGGUGCAACCUUCCCAGCGCUCUCUCCCUGCCACACGUGCACCUGCCUCUCCGGGCCCAGCCAGGAGCCGGUCGUGCAGUGUGAAGAGCGCACCUGCAGCCCCU
rnacentral:lncRNA from 1 species